GACGUAGGGUGCGAGCGUUGUCCGGAUUUAUUGGGCGUAAAGAGCUCGUAGGCGGCUCGUCGCGUCGACCGUGAAAACCCGCGGCUUAACUGUGGGACUGCAGUCGAUACGGGCUAGCUAGAGUUCGGUAGGGGAGACUGGAAUUCCUGGUGUAGCGGUGAAAUGCGCAGAUAUCAGGAGGAACACCGGUGGCGAAGGCGGGUCUCUGGGCCGAUACUGACGCUGAGGAGCGAAAGCGUGGGGAGCGAACAGG
rnacentral:rRNA from 1 species